GACGAACGCUGGCGGCGUGCCUAAUACAUGCAAGUCGAGCGGACUGAAUGGGAGCUUGCUCUUGUUCGGUCAGCGGCGGACGGGUGAGUAACACGUGGGCAACCUGCCCGCAAGACCGGGAUAACUCCGGGAAACCGGAGCUAAUACCGGAUAACACCGAAGACCGCAUGGUCUUUGGUUGAAAGGCGGCGCAAGCUGCCACUUGCGGAUGGGCCCGCGGCGCAUCAGCUAGUUGGUGAGGUAACGGCUCACCAAGGCGACGAUGCGUAGCCGGCCUGAGAGGGUGACCGGCCAAACUGGGACUGAGACACGGCCCAGACUCCUACGGGAGGCAGCAGUAGGGAAUCUUCCGCAAUGGGCGAAAGCCUGACGGAGCGACGCCGCGUGAGCGAAGAAGGCCUUCGGGUCGUAAAGCUCUGUUGUGAGGGACGAAGGAGCGCCGUUUGAAGAAGGCGGCGCGGUGACGGUACCUCACGAGGAAGCCCCGGCUAACUACGUG
rnacentral:rRNA from 1 species